CAACUUAGUUGCAGGAAUACCUUCAAGAAUCUUUCAUAUACUCGUAGUCUUACUCCCAAAUUACGAGCCAAUCACAGUAGCAAAAUGAAAUUGUUGAUUGCCUGUUUGUUUGUUCUGCUUGCCAUUUCGUCGGCUGCUCCCCCAUUUGGAUCACACGUGGGGGAUAGAGUUAAAGAAGGAGCCGAUUGGCUCACUCCAAAUGGAGAACAAAUAGAAUCGAAAUUAUCAGCAGUGCCGUCAAUGAAGCCAGGGAAGGAAAUAUGGGCAAUAUACUCCGGUCUUUCUGGUUAGAAACAUACCUAAAAAGUUUAAAGUAUUUAUGUUUUUUUCUUUGUUAAAAAAAAUCUUAACUCAACUAACCAUAAUGGACCCUUAAUAGACCAUAUAUCUAACAUACUUUAUAUGGACACCACAUGGGCUGUAUUACAAAUAAACAAACGUAUUUCUUCACAUUUCUAUUUGGAAUUAUGAUAAGUAAUACAAAUAAUAAACAGAAAAUAUUUAAAAGAAAA